AAAAAAAUAAACCAUGGGUUUCCGUGUCCAACUUUGACUGUCCGUCUUAUAUGAAAUUUUUUUAUAAUUCGUAUUUUCAUUGUUGUUAGAUGAUAAAACAUAAUUAAUAUUUUAUGCGUGACUUGUCUUUUUAAUUUUUUUCAUAUUUUUUUUCAAAUAAGACGGACGGUCAAAUGUUGGACACGAAAACC
rnacentral:pre_miRNA from 1 species